GGCAAUAUUUGGAACAAGAGAAACGAAGUUUAAGGAUAUUUUUCCAGAUGCUAUGAGUCUUAACUUAAGUUGAAACCACCAAUGCAUUAGCAGAAUCAGAUAACUAAGUGAAGAAGAAUUCUUAUAAUAACUAGAUGACUGCUGUGGGAGAAAAUGUCGCAGUUCUCAUAAUUUUGUCUUCUGGGUUUCACUUUGUUGUCAGCAAAAUCCAGCUUCCACAGAUAAGCAGAUGAGAACAGGUGUGCAAAUGCUGAUGUUCUAACUGCAAGGCAAUACAAAGAUGUUUGAUGGCAAAUCUGGCCCAACAAGAAAUACUAUGCAUGUAUGUAGAACCAAACUAAAUUUACACUAAAUAUCUCAGGUGUUCACAACACGAUGAUCUCAACAGGAAAGAACUAUGUAUUUACUAUUACUUCCUAUGAGCUGCUACUUUAGGAGCUAUUGCUCUAUAUUAAAUCUUGUAACUUGUAUCUGUGAAGACUUAGUAAAUUCUGCGUUUUGACUAAUCGUGUAUGUUUUUGUUUGAAGAUUUGUUGGCUGCCAUUGUUUGUAGUGGAGCAUUUCUCAAUGCUCUACUACUGUGGUUUUU
rnacentral:lncRNA from 1 species